CCCGACUCAAAAAGCGUACUCGUAGAAUGUGCAAUACCCGGACCUGUGCACAUUGGCAUAGUCGGUCCUGGUGGGAACCAACUCGAGGUAUUUGGGGAUAUUGUAUGACUCCCUUAGAGUAGCCAAAAUAGAUGGCGUCAGUUCGGUGAGUUCCCAAGGGGGAAGCUUGCACUGGUUCCUAAAAUCUUUCCGUGCGGCCAUAUCCAGUGGAAGAAUAUUAGUCGUUGAUG
rnacentral:lncRNA from 1 species